rnacentral:rRNA from 1 species
UACGUAGGGUGCAAGCGUUAAUCGGAAUUACUGGGCGUAAAGCGUGCGCAGGCGGUUAUGUAAGGCAGAUGUGAAAUCCCCGGGCUCAACCUGGGAACUGCAUUUGUGACUGCACAGCUGGAGUGCGGCAGAGGGGGAUGGAAUUCCGCGUGUAGCAGUGAAAUGCGUAGAUAUGCGGAGGAACACCGGUGGCGAAGGCAAUCCCCUGGGCCUGCACUGACGCUCAUGCACGAAAGCGUGGGGAGCAAACAGG